GAACCUACCGGUCUCCGAAUGCAUCUAGAUGUUUAAUUUGAUCAUGGCUCAGAUUGCACGCUGGNUNGCAGGCCUAACACAUGCAAGUCGAGCGGCAGCACAAGGGAGUUUACUCCUGAGGUGGCGAGCGGCGGACGGGUGAGUAAUGCCUAGGGAUCUGCCCAGUCGAGGGGGAUAACAGUUGGAAACGACUGCUAAUACCGCAUACGCCCUACGGGGGAAAGAGGGGGACCUUCGGGCCUCUCGCGAUUGGAUGAACCUAGGUGGGAUUAGCUAGUUGGUGAGGUAAUGGCUCACCAAGGCGACGAUCCCUAGCUGUUCUGAGAGGAUGAUCAGCCACACUGGGACUGAGACACGGCCCAGACUCCUACGGGAGGCAGCAGUGGGGAAUAUUGCACAAUGGGGGAAACCCCGAUGCAGCCAUGCCGCGUGUGUGAAGAAGGCCUUCGGGUUGUAAAGCACUUUCAGUAGGGAGGAAAGGGUGAGUCUUAAUACGGCUCAUCUGUGACGUUACCUACAGAAGAAGGACCGGCUAACUCCGUGCCAGCAGCCGCGGUAAUACGGAGAGUCCGAGCGUUAAAUCCGGAAUUACUUGGGCGUAAAGCGUGCGCAGGCGCGUUAGUAAAGCGAGAUGUGAAAAGCCCCUGANGGCUUCAACCCUAGGAAUAGGCAAUUUUCGAAGCCUUGGCGGAACUAGAAGUCUUGCUACACGGGGGGGUAGCAAUCCACGGUG
rnacentral:rRNA from 1 species